GAAAAUAUCAGUAAAAUGUUAUUAGACAAGUACCACUGCUUGCUGCCAUUCCUGGUUGCUUGAUGGCAGUAGGGUGUCUUGGCUAAGUGCUCCGCUUCUCUAAUUGCUGUGGGCCAGCUCUUCUCCCUCAUAGGAAGAAGCUACGUCGCUUUCUGCAAGUCUCUUAACUCUUAAGGAACCUACACUCCCAUCUCCUACAUGAGCGGCAAUUGCUAGAAGAUGUCUCAGGUCACUUCAAGCCCUAAGUUGCUACAUUAACCCUGCACUGCUGUGGUCUCUAGACAACAAGAUAUUUGAAAAAGGACGGAAAUUGAAAUACUAUCUUUCCAUGGGAGCUGACAUUUAUUACUACGUUGACAUUUAUUACUAUUACUCAUUUAAUUUUACAGAAGUCCUAUAACUAGACAGUUAUUAAGAAAAGCAGAGGUCAAAUGACUUGUCCAAGACCACGCAGCCCAUAAAGAGCCUGCCUGUGUCCAAUAUACGUGCUUUCUCUAUAAUAUUUUCUUCCAAAGAAUACCUAAGCCUACAUGUAAUGCAGAAUAAAA
rnacentral:lncRNA from 1 species